AGAGUUUGAUCCUGGCUCAGGACGAACGCUGGCGGCGUGCUUAACACACGCAAGUCGAACGGAAAGGCCCUUCGGGGUACUCGAGUGGCGAACGGGUGAGUAACACGUGGGUGAUCUGCCCUGCACUUUGGGAUAAGCCUGGGAAACUGGGUCUAAUACCGAAUAUGACCAUGCGCCUCCUGGUGUGUGGUGGAAAGCUUUUGCGGUGUGGGAUGGGCCCGCGGCCUAUCAGCUUGUUGGUGGGGUAAUGGCCUACCAAGGCGACGACGGGUAGCCGGCCUGAGAGGGUGACCGGCCACACUGGGACUGAGUUACGGCCCAGACUCCUACGGGAGGCAGCAGUGGGGAAUAUUGCACAAUGGGCGCAAGCCUGAUGCAGCGACGCCGCGUGAGGGAUGACGGCCUUCGGGUUGUAAACCUCUUUCAGCACAGACGAAGCGCAAGUGACGGUAUGUGCAGAAGAAGGACCGGCCAACUACGUGCCAGCAGCCGCGGUAAUACGUAGGGUCCGAGCGUUGUCCGGAAUUACUGGGCGUAAAGAGCUCGUAGGUGGUUUGUCGCGUUGUUCGUGAAAACUCACAGCUUAACUGUGGGCGUGCGGGCGAUACGGGCAGACUUGAGUACUGCAGGGGAGACUGGAAUUCCUGGUGUAGCGGUGGAAUGCGCAGAUAUCAGGAGGAACACCGGUGGCGAAGGCGGGUCUCUGGGCAGUAACUGACGCUGAGGAGCGAAAGGGUGGGGAGCGAACAGGAUUAGAUACCCCGGUAGUCC
rnacentral:rRNA from 1 species